rnacentral:rRNA from 1 species
ACUCCUACGGGAGGCAGCAGUGAGGAAUAUUGGUCAAUGGAGGGAACUCUGAACCAGCCAUCCCGCGUGUAGGAAGACGGCCUUAUGGGUUGUAAACUACUUUUAUACAGGAAGAAACGUACCCUCGUGAGGGUGCCUGACGGUACUGUAGGAAUAAGCACCGGCUAACUCCGUGCCAGCAGCCGCGGUAAUACGGAGGGUGCGAGCGUUAAUCGGAAUUACUGGGCGUAAAGCGCAUGCAGGCGGCCUGUUAAGUCAGAUGUGAAAGCCCGGGGCUUAACCUCGGAAUUGCAUUUGAAACUGGCAGGCUAGAGUCUUGUAGAGGGGGUAGAAUUUCAGGUGUAGCGGUGAAAUGCGUAGAGAUCUGAAGGAAUACCAGUGGCGAAGGCGGCCCCCUGGACAAAGACUGACGCUCAGAUGCGAAAGCGUGGGGAGCAAACAGGAUUAGAUACCCUGGUAGGCUCUGC